GAAAAACGAUUUAAUUAUUUAUUUAUACCAUUUAUACAAUUGUAUAAAAAUAGUUCAUAGGCGAGAAAAAUAAAUAAUUUUAAAUAUGACGGCGGGAAACUUUGACCAAUCAGAUUUUAAGAUAAAUUUAUCCUUGUUGCCAACCUAAUCUUCUUUUGAAUUUUGAAAUAUUUAAAUUAUUUAAUAAUAAUAUUUACAUUAUGAUAAUAAAUAUUAUUCACUUAUAACAAUAUUUUCAAAUGUUUUUGAAGCAAUAAGUAAUAAUAAAAUAGUAUAAUUUUAAAUAUUAGUUUAAUUUUCUCUCUGCUCGCCUUGAAGAAAAAUUCAGUCAUAAACAAUUGGCAACAGUGGAGUGUCACAUCAGUUGAAAAUUCCGGAAAGUUCUAAAAUGUUUACAAGUGUUUAUAGUUUUUAUUUUAUAGAUAUUUUUAUUCUUCAAAACGAUUAAAACAGUCCAAAUGUCAAGAAUUUUAGAAUAGAUAUUUCAGAUAGUGAAAAUAAUUUUUAAUUUUCUUGCAAGAUGUGAAAGUUUUAAUGCACGAAAUAAGUUUCAUUAUAUGUACAAAGAGGAGUUUAUGCAUUUUGAGGUUAGAAAAUGUGACACCGGUUUUUUUUUGUCGAUGGAGAUCCGGCUUUUUAUACCUCAACCACAAAAGGCCGCUUACUGACAUCGCAAUGAAUAAUGAUUCAACGAAACUCACGUAAUUGAUUAAUGCAUAAACGUCAUUUAUUAAUAAAAGGGCCAAUGUUAUGAUGCACUGAAACCAUAAUAAAGGAGAAAAAAAAUGGAUAAGAUGGAUGCAAAUAAUAAAAAAAGAUUGAAAGGAAAUUCUUUAUACCUGUAUGGAUCCUUUAGCUCUUCGGUGACGUAAUUAAGAUAAUUCCAACCGGAAUAUGAAAAAAGACCGCUGUACAUAGCGAGAGCAAUUGAUGCUGGAUUUGUAUUUGA